ensembl:lncRNA
UGGGAUCAGUGGGAUCAGUGGGAUGGAUGGGAUCAUCAGUGGGAUGGAUGGGAACAUCAGUGGGGUCAUGGGAUCAAUGGUUGACAUGGGUGAGGUCUCUGGUGGCAUCAGUGGGAUCAGUGGGAUUUCUGGGAUGGAUGGGAUCAUUGUUGGGAUGGGUGGGAAUCAUCAGUGGGGUCAUGAGAUCAGUGGGAUUGCAGGGAUGGAUGGGAUGAUCAGUGAGGUCAUGGGAUCAGUGUGAUCGCUGGUGUGGAUGGGAUCAUCACUGGGAUCAUGGGGAUCAGUGGGAUCAGUGGGAUGGAUGGGAUCAUCAGUGGGGUCAUG